UUCCUCUACAGAAGAGUCACAGCAGAGCAGGAAGCAUAGGCCAAGCAGCCCGUAUCCAGGUUCUCCCUCAGCUCUGCACAACAGUAAGGCAGCAAGACACACCGAGCAGGGCUGAGAUGACAGCAGCACUUGGGGUAUGAUCCUGCUGCCAUCCCCUGCUGUGAUAGAAGCGGGGCACCGAGGCAGAACCGACUGCAAGGCGGCAGCAGAGCAGAGGAGGAAUGACGUAAGAUGAGGUAUGGUGUAAUUACAAUUAAUCCCUCCUGGCAUAGCCAUACUCUGUUCAGACGUCACUGGCAGGAGUUCAGUUUUGCAUCUAGAGCUCAUUUUGCUGACAAUGGCUAGCUAAAGUAAGUUGUACAAGCUGAAACAUGGCUUUGGGGCCAUGAACAGUGACCAUGGUGGACAACUGCACUGACGAACCCUCAUGGCUCAGUAACACGCGUACCUCCUCCUCCAGAGACAGAGACCAUGUGCAGAAGGGAUGAUGAUCUCUGAUCACGGGACCAAAGAUCACUCCAGUUGGCUUCAGGCAAGCGGAAGCCACAGCAUCCAUGCCCUAUCCAAGAGGAAGAAAUUGGUUGCAUCCUCCAGCUCUUGGUACAGAUUCACUGAGCUGAAUUUCUCCAAGAAGUAUUAUUGGAGAACUUGCCUGAAC